GACGUAGGGUGCAAGCGUUGUCCGGAAUUAUUGGGCGUAAAGAGCUCGUAGGCGGUCUGUCACGUCGGCUGUGAAAUCCCGAGGCUCAACCUCGGGUCUGCAGUCGAUACGGGCAAACUAGAGUAUUGCAGGGGAGACUGGAAUUCCUGGUGUAGCGGUGAAAUGCGCAGAUAUCAGGAGGAACACCGGUGGCGAAGGCGGGUCUCUGGGCAAUAACUGACGCUGAGGAGCGAAAGCGUGGGGAGCGAACAGG
rnacentral:rRNA from 1 species